rnacentral:rRNA from 1 species
AGAGUUUGAUCAUGGCUCAGAACGAACGCUGNNGGCAGCUUAACCAUGCAAGUCGAACGCACCUUUACGGGUGAGUGGCAGACGGGUGAGUAACGCGUGGGAACGUGCCCUUCAGUUCGGAAUAACCCAGGGAAACUUGGGCUAAUACCGGAUACGUGCGAGAGCAGAAAGAUUUAUCGCUGAAGGAUCGGCCCGCGUCUGAUUAGCUAGUUGGUGGGGUAAUGGCCCACCAAGGCGACGAUCAGUAGCUGGUCUGAGAGGAUGAUCAGCCACAUUGGGACUGAGACACGGCCCAAACUCCUACGGGAGGCAGCAGUGGGGAAUAUUGGACAAUGGGCGCAAGCCUGAUCCAGCCAUGCCGCGUGAGUGAUGAAGGCCUUAGGGUUGUAAAGCUCUUUCGUCCGGGACGAUAAUGACGGUACCGGAAGAAGAAGCCCCGGCUAACUUCGUGCCAGCAGCCGCGGUAAUACGAAGGGGGCUAGCGUUGUUCGGAAUCACUGGGCGUAAAGGGCGCGUAGGCGGCCUGAUAAGUCGGGGGUGAAAGCCUGUGGCUCAACCACAGAAUUGCCUUCGAUACUGUCGGGCUUGAGACCGGAAGAGGUAAGUGGAACUGCGAGUGUAGAGGUGAAAUUCGUAGAUAUUCGCAAGAACACCAGUGGCGAAGGCGGCUUACUGGUCCGGUUCUGACGCUGAGGCGCGAAAGCGUGGGGAGCAAACAGGAUUAGAUACCCUAGUAGUCC